CAGUAGCCGCGGUAAUACGUAGGGUGCGAGCGUUAAUCGGAAUUACUGGGCGUAAAGCGUGCGCAGGCGGUCUUGUAAGACAGGCGUGAAAUCCCCGGGCUCAACCUGGGAAUGGCGCUUGUGACUGCAAAGCUAGAGUGCGGCAGAGGGGGAUGGAAUUCCGCGUGUAGCAGUGAAAUGCGUAGAUAUGCGGAGGAACACCGAUGGCGAAGGCAAUCCCCUGGGCCUGCACUGACGCUCAUGCACGAAAGCGUGGGGAGCAAACAGGAUUAGAUACCCCCGUAGUCCCUGUCUCUUAUAC
rnacentral:rRNA from 1 species